UUUACAUUUCUACCCAAAAAAAAGAAAACGAUGGUUUUUUUACCAAAAACAGGGAGCCCAGGCCCAGUGAAAAAACAUGGGCUAGGUCCAUUACAAUCAUGGAUCAGGAGAAAGGCCAUAACUUGUCAUUCCUGAUUUUUGUCCUACUGCAACGAGAUAGGUCUAUGACCCUAUACUCACAGCUUCAAUCAGAGUUCCACAGAACUAAAACUUAGCUGUCACAACGCAUGCAAUGGCUGCCUAAGUGGAAAGGAAUCACUCAGAAACAUACAAAUUUCCUUCACUCACUACGUAACAUUUUUGUUAUUAUAAAGUAAAAACAAGUUAAACGUGAUUACAGGUUAAAUACAAUAGAAGACAAGAACUACAGAAUGAAUAGAACUCCCGUGCUCAUUGCUGUCUAGUUGACAUAUAGUUAGAUUAAAAUCAAUACAUAGUUUUGUUUCGUAAGUACAACUCAGAUAAUAAAAUAUUAUUUGAUAUGUUGAGAUACAAAUUUAAAUUCUUAAUAUCUCAUUUGUUUGUGUAUUUAGUGUGUGAGUUUUGCUGUUAUAGAUUCUUUAAGAAAAAUAGGAGUAGGCACUGGGCACAGUGAUGUGCAUUUGUUGGUGAUGAAUUUGUAGUUUCUCGAUUGGUGGGAAGUAGGAAGUGAAAAAUAACAUUGAAUUGAAGUAACCCGAAACAUGAAUUGACAACUGAGGUUGAUCACACCACAAUUGUUUGUUUGUUAGAAUAUAAGCAGAAAGAGAAAGAGAUAUGAAUUGAGGGCACAGCACAACCAAAAACUGCAUAGAAAUUAUAAACUAGUCCCUUCUUCUGUUCCAUAACUAAUAAUUGUAGAGGCUGUGCCUUUUUGUCCCUAGCCACAACGGUAGUAGUAAUAUUGUUUUGAGAAAUCACAUUUUCAAACACAAAUUGACAUAAAACUAUUAUUCAUUAAAUGGUGAAUAAUAUUAUUCAUUAAAUCAUGGAUAAUUAAACCAUUAUGGGUGAAAAUACCACAACUCUAUUAGUGUUAAUCUAUGCAUGAAAUUAAAAGGGUGAGAGAGAAAGAGAGUGAGGAUUAAUUCGUGCAGUGUUAGCUAUGUGGCCCUAUGAAUCUAUUCAUCAUUUCAGACCCAAGUAGGCAGUAGCUAGCUAGCUAGACAACUCACCACUCACCAAUAUUGUUCCUUUCAAAAACUUUCUUAUAACACAGCUCAGCUCAGCUCAUUAAUUCAUUGCAGCAGUGUGUAUGUAUCACUGUUGCAUGAUGAGUUAUGUCCUUAUGAUAUUCACUUCCACCUCUCCUCCCACCAACCCCCCUUUUGCUAAUUCUUCUAUAUAUUUAUAUUCUAUUAAACCAACUAAUAUUUUGUACCAUUUGUUUCUUAUUCCACUUUGGUUAUUUCUUUCUGUCUCCAAAUUCUACUUCCUCACAUUUGCCUCUCUUUGUGUUUCCUGUAACAAAAUCAUGCAAAGCUGGGAGACCAAUAUUGUUAUGAUCACAAAGGAAAAAGUGAAGCUGCCAGCAUGAUCU